GCCACUGCCUAUCAUUGGGGACCAAUGAUAUUUCAAGAAAUUCAGUUAGAGUACAGUGACUUAGAGUACAGAAAUUCAGUUUUGUUUUGUUUUUUUUAAAUAAAUUACAAAAACAGGGUGGAUCAGCUUUUACAAGUGGAACCACUAUUUUUAUGUUGAACUUUUCACUUCAGGGAAAUCAAAGGUAACUUCAAAGGUAGUGAACCACCACAUAAUAAACCCAAAAAUCACCAGCUAGGCCUUUGAACCUGCUGCCUGUGGAGAUCUGUGAGAAUAUGAACCAUGACCCAUGACCACGAGUAAACACAGACAGCCAGACAAAACAGAUAGAGAGGGAUGAGGGAAGGCCAUAGACAAGCAGUGCACAACACAGGCACAGUGCAUGUGUGUUUAUUCAAAACCCACAGGCCUAAAUAAAACCCAAAGGCUUCCUCUAAACUCAUUAACCUCCCUGUGGUGUGGAGGGGGCGUGGAAAGGCGUCAAGACGAGAAAGCCGGAUGCAUCUAUUUGUGGUUUAUCCUGUUCACUCUCUAAUGCCGGGAUCACUACACAAAUUCAGCUAGAUUCCAACAAGAUGGUGGCGUCACAGACAACCUUUGAACGUCAGAACGUCGUACCCAAGUGAUGCCCCGAAGGAAAUUCAAGCAUGCUUGAAUUUAUUUACCGUUACUGCAUUGUCUGACAACAUCUACAACGUGUACAGAUGUUGAUUCAUUAAAUAUUGAAUGCUCUCAUGGGGAAAUUGAUGCUAGGUCACAUAGGACGGAAUGGGUCGUGGUCAAACGUCUAGUGGGCAUGCACUUAUUGUCUAAUUUGACAUAGUGACUGUUGGGAAAAUCAAAGAUUGUUGACGUUACAAUGAGGUAGGGUACAGGUUCUGGUUGCGGAUUGUGCAGCCGUGUUCGGCCUUCUAGUGCCACUCGGUGUCCGCUUCCAAAAUCAAAGACAGUUCUCUUAUCAUUUCUGCUGAUCCUGCUACACUCACCUCCACAUCAGAACGGAGGGAUGAAAUUUAACAACCAUCGACAUUUACGAACUGUAGUCAAAAUGGAGGGUUGUUUAAAGAGCUCCUAUUUUACCACCAGCUAAGUGUGAUUAGCCAUUUCAAAAUCCUGUGACUUGACGACAUCACAAGUGGGCAUCCACUUGCAUGGGCGAUUCUAGGUAGUGUGGGGGCCCUAGGCAGAGG
ensembl:lncRNA